rnacentral:lncRNA from 1 species
AAUUUUUAAAAAAAUAAAAAUAAAAUGAUGGGUGCUCUAUCUAGGAUGACAAAUCCCUUCCCGGUGUCUGAUUCGUCCGUCAUCUUGGAUGGAGGAGGCAAAACAAAAUAUACUAAAAUAAACUAAAAAGGACAAAAAAAAUUUUUUUGUUAAGGUAGUGGUAUUUUGGGACAUUAAUUUCAGGGUUGUAGCAUUAGAGUAAAAAAUCGUUU